GAUGAACGCUGGCGGCGUGCCUAAUACAUGCCAGUCGAGCGAACGGACGAGAAGCUUGCUUCUCUGAUGUUAGCGGCGGACGGGUGAGUAACACGUGGAUAACCUACCUAUAAGACUGGGAUAACUUCGGGAAACCGGAGCUAAUACCGGAUAAUAUUUUGAACCGCAUGGUUCAAAAGUGAAAGACGGUCUUGCUGUCACUUAUAGAUGGAUCCGCGCUGCAUUAGCUAGUUGGUAAGGUAACGGCUUACCAAGGCAACGAUGCAUAGCCGAUCUGAGAGGGUGAUCGGCCACACUGGAACUGAGACACGGUCCAGACUCCUACGGGAGGCAGCAGUAGGGAAUCUUCCGCAAUGGGCGAAAGCCUGACGGAGCAACGCCGCGUGAGUGAUGAAGGUCUUCGGAUCGUAAAACUCUGUUAUUAGGGAAGAACAUAUGUGUAAGUAACUGUGCACAUCUUGACGGUACCUAAUCAGAAAGCCACGGCUAACUACGUG
rnacentral:rRNA from 1 species